rnacentral:rRNA from 1 species
GUGGGGAAUCUUGCACAAUGGGCGAAAGCCUGAUGCAGCAACGCCGCGUGCGGGAAGACGGCCCUAGGGUUGUAAACCGCUUUCAGCAGGGAAGAAACUGACGGUACCUGCAGAAGAAGGUGCGGCCAACUACGUGCCAGCAGCCGCGGUGACACGUAGGCACCAAGCGUUAUCCGGAUUUAUUGGGCGUAAAGAGCUCGUAGGCGGUUCGGUAAGUCGGGUGUGAAAACUCUGGGCUCAACCCAGAGACGCCACUCGAUACUGCUGUGACUAGAGUGCGGUAGGGGAGCGGGGAAUUUCUGGUGUAGCGGUGAAAUGCGCAGAUAUCAGAAGGAACACCAGUGGCGAAGGCGCCGCUCUGGGCCGUAACUGACGCUGAGGAGCGAAAGCAUGGGUAGCAAACAGGAUUAGAAACCCUAGUAGUCC